UGGGGAAUAUUGCACAAUGGGCGCAAGCCUGAUGCAGCAACGCCGCGUGAACGAUGAAGGUCUUCGGAUCGUAAAGUUCUGUUGCAGGGGAAGAUAAUGACGGUACCCUGUGAGGAAGCCCCGGCUAACUACGUGCCAGCAGCCGCGGUAAUACGUAGGGGGCUAGCGUUAUCCGGAUUUACUGGGCGUAAAGGGUGCGUAGGUGGUCUUUCAAGUCGGUGGUUAAAGGCUACGGCUCAACCGUAGUUAGCCUCCGAAACUGGAAGACUUGAGUGCAGGAGAGGAAAGUAGAAUUCCCAGUGUAGCGGUGAAAUGCGUAGAUAUUGGGAGGAACACCAGUAGCGAAGGCGGCUUUCUGGACUGCAACUGACACUGAGGCCCGAAAGCGUGGGUAGCAAACAGG
rnacentral:rRNA from 1 species